AUGAACAUAAGAAGAAGAAGAAGAAGCAGAGGAAGAAGCAGAAGAAGAAGAAACGGUCUCCACGUACUGUGCCCUUAUUCACUCACUUAGCGGUGAAUCUUCUGAGUGGGAGGCGGUAAAGCACCUAAAGCUGGUCUGCCAACUGCCAAUAAACAGAAGAGAAUAAGACGACGUCACCACUAGCGCCCUCACACUCACUUUUUCUCAGCGUUGAGUCUUCUGAGACCUGAUGGAGGAGAAAGAGGAAGGUAAAUAACCAAAUUAGGUGGAAGAGAAACAUCAUCAUGUCAAAACUGAAGAAAUCGUUUCGUUGCUCACUGAAAAGAAGAGCCAAAGAAUCUUUCACCUGCCCUCAGUGUGGAAAGAGUUUCCCAUCCAAAAAAAGUCUUAAACCUCACAUGAAAACCCACACUGAAGAGAAACCGCACACAUGUGAUCAGUGCAGGAAGAGUUUUGCACGAGCAAACACGCUUAAAUUACAUCUGCAUUCUCAUUCUGGAGAAAGACCGUUUAACUCUGAUCAAUGCAGCAAAAAA